rnacentral:rRNA from 1 species
GAAGCGAAAGUAAAAUUUCGUGGAGGUCCGAACCCACGAGCGUUGAAAAGCUCGGGGAUGACUUGUGGGUAGCGGUGAAAUUCCAAUCGGGCCCGGAGAUAGCUGGUUCUCCCCGAAAUAGCUUUAGGGCUAGCCUCAAGGUGAGAGAUACGGAGGUAGAGCACUGAAUGUCCUAGGGGGUAUUGCACCUACCGAAGACUAUCAAACUCCGAAUGCCGUCAUCUUAUACUUGGGAGUCAGACUGUGGGUGAUAAGAUUCAUAGUCGAAAGGGCAACAGCCCAGAUCGUCAGCUAAGGUCCCUAAAUGUAAGUUAAGUGGUAAAGGAUGUGGGAUUGCACAGACAACCAGGAUGUUGGCUUAGAAGCAGCCACUCAUUCAAAGAGUGCGUAAUAGCUCACUGGUCGAGUGAUCCUGCGCCGAAGAUUUCCGGGGCUAAAACUUACUACCGAAGCUACGGCAUCAGUAAUGAUGGGUAGGGGAGCUUCCCAUACGGGUUGAAGCAUGACCGUAAGGACAUGUGGACAGUAUGGGAGUGAGAAUGUUGGCAUGAGUAGCGAGAUGUGGGUG